rnacentral:rRNA from 1 species
GCGACGACGGGUAGCCGGCCUGAGAGGGCGACCGGCCACACUGGGACUGAGACACGGCCCAGACUCCUACGGGAGGCAGCAGUGGGGAAUAUUGCACAAUGGGCGAAAGCCUGAUGCAGCGACGCCGCGUGAGGGAUGACGGCCUUCGGGUUGUAAACCUCUUUCAGCAGGGAAGAAGCGAAAGUGACGGUACCUGCAGAAGAAGCGCCGGCUAACUACGUGCCAGCAGCCGCGGUAAUACGUAGGGCGCAAGCGUUGUCCGGAAUUAUUGGGCGUAAAGAGCUCGUAGGCGGCUUGUCACGUCGGGUGUGAAAGCCCGGGGCUUAACCCCGGGUCUGCAUUCGAUACGGGCUAGCUAGAGUGUGGUAGGGGAGAUCGGAAUUCCUGGUGUAGCGGUGAAAUGCGCAGAUAUCAGGAGGAACACCGGUGGCGAAGGCGGAUCUCUGGGCCAUUACUGACGGUGAGGAGCGAAAGCGUGGGGAGCGAACAGGAUUAGAUACCCUGGUAGUUCACGCCGUAAACGGUGGGAACUAGGUGUUGGCGACCUUUCACGUUGUUGGUGCCGCAGCUAACGCCUUAAGUUCCCCGCCUGGGGAGUACGGCCGCAAGGCUAAAACUCAAAGGAAUUGACGGGGGCCCGCACAAGCAGCGGAGCAUGUGGCUUAAUUUGACGCAACGCGAAGAACCUUACCAAGGCUUGACAUACACCGGAAAACCCUGGAGACAGGGUCCCCCUUGUGGUCGGUGUACAGGUGGUGCAUGGCUGUUGUCAGCUCGUGUCGUGAGAUGUUGGGUUAAGUCCCGCAACGAGCGCAACCCUUGUUCUGUGUUGCCAGCAUGCCCUUCGGGGUGAUGGGGACUCACAGGAGACCGCCGGGGUCAACUCGGAGGAAGGUGGGGACGACGUCAAGUCAUCAUGCCCCUUAUGUCUUGGGCUGCACACGUGCUACAAUGGCCGGUACAAUGAGCUGCGAUACCGUGAGGUGGAGCGAAUCUCAAAAAGCCGGUCUCAGUUCGGAUUGGGGUCUGCAACUCGACCCCAUGAAGUCGGAGUUGCUAGUAAUCGCAGAUCAGCAUUGCUGCGGUGAAUACGUUCCCGGGCCUUGUACACACCGCCCGUCACGUCACGAAAGUCGGUAACACC